UACGUAGGGGGCAAGCGUUGUCCGGAUUUAUUGGGCGUAAAGAGCGUGUAGGCGGCCAGGUAGGUCCGCUGUGAAAACUCGAGGCUCAACCUCGAGAUGUCGGCGGAAACCAUCUGGCUAGAGUCCGGAAGAGGAGAGUGGAAUUCCUGGUGUAGCGGUGAAGUGCGCAGAUAUCAGGAGGAACACCCGUGGCGAAAGCGGCUCUCUGGGACGGUACUGACGCUGAGACGCGAAAGCGUGGGGAGCAAACAGG
rnacentral:rRNA from 1 species